GACGAACGCUGGCGGCGUGCUUAACACAUGCAAGUCGAACGAAGUGGCGAACGGGUGAGUACUACGUGAGUAACUGCCCCCCUCUCUGGGAUAACAGUUGGAAACGGCUGCUAAUACCGGAUAGUAGGUGCUGACUGGCGUCCUAUCGGCUUGUUGGUGGGGUAGUGGCCUUCCAAGGCGACGACGGUUAGCCGGCCUGAGAGCGCGACCGGCGCCAUUGGGCUGCGAUACGGCCCAAUAUCCGACGGGAGGCAGUAGUGGGGAAUAUUGCACACUGGGGGAAACCGUGAUGCAGCAACGCGCGUGCGGAAUUACGGCCUUCGGGUUGUAAACCGCUUCCAGCCAUGCCGCGGUAGUGGCCGAAGAAGCACCGGCUAACUACGUGCCAGCAGCCGCGGUAAUAC
rnacentral:rRNA from 1 species